UCACCUCCUUAAAAGGAGACCUACCCUCUCACUUAGCUAAAGCUAGGAUGAGAAAGGUCAACUAGGUCGUUCGAAGCUUUCCAUAAAUUUCGAUGUGCUUCUAAACUAUCCCGGUUCAGGGAUGGGGGCUAUUAGCUCAGGUGGUUAGAGCGCACCCCUGAUAAGGGUGAGGUCCCUGGUUCGAGUCCAGGAUGGCCCACUCCAUUAAGACAAGGGGGUUUAGCUCAGUUGGUAGAGCGCCUGCUUUGCAAGCAGGAUGUCAGCGGUUCGAGUCCGCUAACCUCCACCAACCGAUUGAUUGAAUCACUCUGUUGAAUUUUUUGUUGAAUUGAGCGAUUGAGGAUAUGCGACAGCAACUCAUCUGCGAGAUGUAGAGAGCCUGCUGGAUUAUGUCCAGUACAAGAACCAAGAAAACUGCAUAGUAAUGAUGUCAGGUAGAGAUACACAGACACCAAUGUAAAGGACUAAAACUGAUUGAAAUAAUUAGU
rnacentral:tRNA from 1 species